GAUUAAGUUAUUAAGGGCGCACGGUGGAUGCCUUGGCACUAGAAGCCGAUGAAGGACGUUACUAACGACGAUAUGCUUUGGGGAGCUGUAAGUAAGCUUUGAUCCAGAGAUUUCCGAAUGGGGAAACCCAGCAUGAGUUAUGUCAUGUUAUCGAUAUGUGAAUACAUAGCAUAUCAGAAGGCACACCCGGAGAACUGAAACAUCUUAGUACCCGGAGGAAGAGAAAGAAAAUUCGAUUCCCUUAGUAGCGGCGAGCGAAACGGGAAGAGCCCAAACCAACAAGCUUGCUUGUUGGGGUUGUAGGACACUCUAUACGGAGUUACAAAGGACGACAUUAGACGAAUCAUCUGGAAAGAUGAAUCAAAGAAGGUAAUAAUCCUGUAGUCGAAAAUGUUGUCUCUCUUGAGUGGAUCCUGAGUACGACGGAGCACGUGAAAUUCCGUCGGAAUCUGGGAGGACCAUCUCCUAAGGCUAAAUACUCUCUAGUGACCGAUAGUGAACCAGUACCGUGAGGGAAAGGUGAAAAGCACCCCGGAAGGGGAGUGAAAUAGAACCUGAAACCGUGUGCUUACAAGUAGUCAGAGCCCGUUAAUGGGUGAUGGCGUGCCUUUUGUAGAAUGAACCGGCGAGUUACGAUUUGAUGCAAGGUUAAGCAGUAAAUGUGGAGCCGUAGCGAAAGCGAGUCUGAAUAGGGCGUUUAGUAUUUGGUCGUAGACCCGAAACCAGGUGAUCUACCCUUGGUCAGGUUGAAGUUCAGGUAACACUGAAUGGAGGACCGAACCGACUUACGUUGAAAAGUGAGCGGAUGAACUGAGGGUAGCGGAGAAAUUCCAAUCGAACCUGGAGAUAGCUGGUUCUCUCCGAAAUAGCUUUAGGGCUAGCCUCAAGUGAUGAUUAUUGGAGGUAGAGCACUGUUUGGACGAGGGGCCCCUCUCGGGUUACCGAAUUCAGACAAACUCCGAAUGCCAAUUAAUUUAACUUGGGAGUCAGAACAUGGGUGAUAAGGUCCAUGUUCGAAAGGGAAACAGCCCAGACCACCAGCUAAGGUCCCAAAAUAUAUGUUAAGUGGAAAAGGAUGUGGCGUUGCCCAGACAACUAGGAUGUUGGCUUAGAAGCAGCCAUCAUUUAAAGAGUGCGUAAUAGCUCACUAGUCGAGUGACACUGCGCCGAAAAUGUACCGGGGCUAAACAUAUUACCGAAGCUGUGGAUUGUCCUUUGGACAAUGGUAGGAGAGCGUUCUAAGGGCGUUGAAGCAUGAUCGUAAGGACAUGUGGAGCGCUUAGAAGUGAGAAUGCCGGUGUGAGUAGCGAAAGACGGGUGAGAAUCCCGUCCACCGAUUGACUAAGGUUUCCAGAGGAAGGCUCGUCCGCUCUGGGUUAGUCGGGUCCUAAGCUGAGGCCGACAGGCGUAGGCGAUGGAUAACAGGUUGAUAUUCCUGUACCACCUAUAAUCGUUUUAAUCGA
rnacentral:rRNA from 1 species